rnacentral:rRNA from 1 species
UACGUAGGGAGCAAGCGUUGUCCGGAAUCAUUGGGCGUAAAGCGCGCGUAGGUGGCUUCGUAAGUCCGUUGUGAAAGUCAAAGGCUCAACCUUUGAAAGCCGAUGGAUACUGUGAAGCUAGAGUACGGAAGAGGCGAGUGGAAUUCCUGGUGUAGCGGUGGAAUGCGCAGAUAUCAGGAGGAAUACCGAUGGCGAAGGCAGGUCUCUGGGCUGACACUGACGCUCAUGCACGAAAGCGUGGGGAGCAAACAGG